GCCAGUGUGGUGUAGUGGUUUCAGCACUGCAGUACAACUCUGAAGACCUGAGUUUGAAUCCCUGCUCAGCCA